AUUGAACGCUGGCGGCAGGCCUAACACAUGCAAGUCGAGCGGAGCGUCGGACGUGUGAGUAAUGCCUAGGAAUCUGCCUGGUAGUGGGGGAUAACGUCCGGAAACGGGCGCUAAUACCGCAUACUAUCAGAUGAGCCUAGGUCGGAUUAGCUAGUUGGUGGGGUAAAGGCCUACCAAGGCGACGAUCCGUAACUGGUCUGAGAGGAUGAUCAGUCACACGGGAACUGAGACACGGGCCAGACUCCUACGGGAGGCAGCAGUGGGGAAUAUUGGACAAUGGGCGCAAGCCUGAAGCAGCCAUGCCGCGAGUAUGAAGAAGGCCUGCGGGUUGUAAAGUACUAUCAGCGGGGAGGCGAUACCGGCAGAAGAAGCACCGGCUAACUCAGUGCCAGCAGCCGCGGUAAUUC
rnacentral:rRNA from 1 species